rnacentral:rRNA from 1 species
UACGAAGGGGGCUAGCGUUGCUCGGAAUCACUGGGCGUAAAGGGUGCGUAGGCGGGUCUUUAAGUCAGGGGUGAAAUCCUGGAGCUCAACUCCAGAACUGCCUUUGAUACUGAAGAUCUUGAGUUCGGGAGAGGUGAGUGGAACUGCGAGUGUAGAGGUGAAAUUCGUAGAUAUUCGCAAGAACACCAGUGGCGAAGGCGGCUUACUGGUCCGGUUCUGACGCUGAGGCGCGAAAGCUAGGGGAGCAAACAGG